UUUGACAUGUAAAUAGAACCUAUUCCUUUGAAAUUUGCAGAGGAAAUGUCCACGUGAUUGUGUCAGCUCAUGUCUAGAAGCAACCAGAAUUGACUGGGAAGGCACAGAUUCAAGAAGAAGAAAAACAGCACAGGCCCUACCUUUCUCAGUGAGUCCUGAAGUCUGAAGCCGUGAUGAAACUUAUAGUCCCUAAGAACAUCGGUAUGGAUAGCAGCAGUACUGAAC
rnacentral:lncRNA from 1 species